AUUGAACGCUGGCGGCAUGCCUUACACAUGCAAGUCGAACGGCAGCACGGGAGUAAUCCUGGUGGCGAGUGGCGAACGGGUGAGUAAUGUAUCGGAACGUGCCCAAUCGUGGGGGAUAACGCAGCGAAAGCUGUGCUAAUACCGCAUACGAUCUAUGGAUGAAAGCGGGGGAUCGCAAGACCUCGCGCGAUUGGAGCGGCCGAUAUCAGAUUAGCUAGUUGGUGGGGUAAAAGCUUACCAAGGCGGCGAUCUGUAGCUGGUCUGAGAGGACGACCAGACACACUGGAACUGAGAAACGGUCCAGACUCCUACGGGAGGCAGAAGUGGGGAAUUUUGGACAAUGGGCGAAAGCCUGAUCCAGCAAUGCCGCGUGCAGGAUGAAGGCCUUCGGGUUGUAAACUGCUUUUGUACGGAGCGAAAAGGCUCUCUCUAAUACAGGGGGCUCAUGACGGUACCGUAAGAAUAAGCACCGGCUAACUACGUGCCAGCAGCCGCCGUAA
rnacentral:rRNA from 1 species